rnacentral:rRNA from 1 species
AGCGAACGCUGGCGGCAGGCCUAACACAUGCAAGUCGAACGGAUCCUUCGGGAUUAGUGGCGGACGGGUGAGUAACACGUGGGAACGUGCCCUUUGGUUCGGAACAACUCAGGGAAACUUGAGCUAAUACCGGAUGUGCCCUUCGGGGGAAAUAUUUAUCGCCAUUGGAGCGGCCCGCUUCUGAUUAGUGAGUUGGUGAGGUAAAGGCUAAACAAGGCCACGAUAAGUAGCUGGUCUGAGAGGAUGAUCAGCCACAUUGGGACUGAGACACGGCCCAAACUCCUACGGGAGGCAGCAGUGGGGAAUCUUGCGCAAUGGGCGAAAGCCUGACGCAGCCAUGCCGCGUGAAUGAUGAAGGUCUUAGGAUUGUAAAAUUCUUUCACCGGGGACGAUAAUGACGGUACCCGGAGAAGAAGCCCCGGCUAACUCUGUGCCAGCAGCCGCGGUAAAAC